rnacentral:rRNA from 1 species
AGAGUUUGAUCCUGGCUCAGAAUGAACGCUGGCGGCGUGCCUAACACAUGCAAGUCGUACGAGAAAGGGGCUUCGGCCCUGAGUAGAGUGGCGCACGGGUGAGUAACGCGUGGGUAAUCUGCCCUUGGAUUUGGAAUAACUCCGCGAAAGUGGAGCUAAUACCGGAUAGUCUGGCUUUUAAUAGAAGUCGGUAAAGGAUGCCUCUGCAUAUGCAUUCGUCCAAGGAUGAGCCCGCGUCUCAUUAGCUAGUUGGUAGGGUAAUGGCCUACCAAGGCAACGAUGAGUAGCUGGUCUGAGAGGAUGAUCAGCCACACUGGAACUGAAACACGGUCCAGACUCCUACGGGAGGCAGCAGUGGGGAAUAUUGCGCAAUGGGCGAAAGCCUGACGCAGCAACGCCGUGUGAGGGAUGAAGGCUUUCGGGUCGUAAACCUCUGUCGGAAGGGAAGAACGGGCAUUGGUCUAAUAGGCCUUUGUUUUGACGGUACCUUUAGAGGAAGCACCGGCUAACUCCGUGCCAGCAGCCGCGGUAAUACGGAGGGUGCAAGCGUUAUUCGGAAUUACUGGGCGUAAAGCGCACGUAGGCCGCUUUGUAAGUCAGGGGUGAAAUCCCACGGCUCAACCGUGGAACUGCCCUUGAAACUGCAGAGCUUGAAUCCUGGAGAGGGUGGCGGAAUUCCUGGUGUAGGAGUGAAAUCCGUAGAUAUCAGGAGGAACACCGGUGGCGAAGGUGGCCACCUGGACAGGCAUUGACGCUGAGGUGCGAAAGUGUGGGGAGCAAACAGGAUUAGAUACCCUGGUAGUCCACGCUGUAAACGAUGGAUGCUAGAUGUCGGGGAGUAUUCUUCGGUGUCGUAGUUAACGCGUUAAGCAUCCCCCUGGGGAGUACGGUCGCAAGGCUGAAACUCAAAGAAAUUGACGGGGGCCCGACAAGCGGUGGAGUAUGUGGNU